CUCCUACGGGAGGCAGCAGUGGGGAAUAUUGCGCAAUGGGGGAAACCCUGACGCAGCAACGCCGUGUGAGCGAGGAAGGGUUUCGGCUCGUAAAGCUCUGUCAGAUGGGAAGAACGGCUAUUGGUCUAAUAGGCCAGUAGAUUGACGGUACCAUCAGAGGAAGUACCGGCUAACUUCGUGCCAGCAGCCGCGGUAAUACGAAGGGUGCAAGCGUUGUUCGGAUUUAUUGGGCGUAAAGCGCGCGCAGGCGGAUGGACAAGUCAGAUGUGAAAUCUCGGGGCUCAACCUCGAAACUGCGUCUGAAACUGUUUAUCUAGAGUCUCGGAGAGGAAAGUGGAAUUUCGCAUGUAGGGGUAAAAUCCGUAGAGAUGCGAAGGAACACCAGUGGCGAAGGCGACUUUCUGGACGAGUACUGACGCUGAGGCGCGAAAGCGUGGGGAGCAAACAGGAUUAGAUACCCUGGUAGUCCACGCCGUAAACGAUGUGCACUAGGUUUGGGAGGUAUGAUCCCUUCCGAUCCAAAGCUAACGCAUUAAGUGCACCGCCUGGGGAGUACGGCCGCAAGGCUAAAACUCAAAGGAAUUGACGG
rnacentral:rRNA from 1 species